rnacentral:rRNA from 1 species
GGUAACAGGGNAAGCUUGCUUCUCGCUGACGAACGGCGGACGGGUNAGUAAUGUAUGGGGAUCUGCCCGAUAGAGGGGGAUAACUACUGGAAACGGUGGCUAAUACCGCAUAAUCUCUUAGGAGCAAAGCAGGGGACCUUNGGGCCUUGCGCUGUCGGAUGAACCCAUAUGGGAUUAGCUAGUAGGUAAGGUAAUGGCUUACCUAGGCGACGAUCCCUAGCUGGUCUGAGAGGAUGAUCAGCCACACUGGGACUGAGACACGGCCCAGACUCCUACGGGAGGCAGCAGUGGGGAAUAUUGCACAAUGGGCGCAAGCCUGAUGCAGCCAUGCCGCGUGUAUGAAGAAGGCCCUAGGGUUGUAAAGUACUUUCAGUCGGGAGGAAGGCGUUGAUGUUAAUACCAUCAACUGAUUGACGUUACCGACAGAAGAAGCACCGGC